CCCGCACAGGCGGUGGAGCAUGUGGUUUAAUUCGAUGAUACGCGAGGAACCUUACCUGGGCUCAAAUGUAUGUUGACGUAUUCUGAAAGGGAUACUUCUUCGGACAAUAUACAAGGUGCUGCAUGGUUGUCGUCAGCUCGUGCCGUGAGGUGUCGGGUUAAGUCCCAUAACGAGCGCAACCCCUAUCAUUAGUUGCCAUCAGGUCAAGCUGGGGACUCUAAUGAAACUGCCUACGCAAGUAGUGAGGAAGGCGGGGAUGACGUCAAAUCAGCACGGCCCUUACGUCCAGGGCUACACACGUGCUACAAUGGCCGAUACAGAGGGCAGCUACCUGGUGACAGGAUGCAAAUCUCCAAAGUCGGUCUCAGUUCGGAUCGGAGUCUGCAACCCGACUCCGUGAAGUUGGAUUCGCUAGUAAUCGCGCAUCAGCCAUGGCGCGGUGAAUACGUUCCCGGGCCUU
rnacentral:rRNA from 1 species